rnacentral:rRNA from 1 species
UCUGGGUGGCAUUUCUGUGUACUGUGUUUAAACCUAAGUUGGUCGUUAUCAUGUUAGGUUUAACCGGUGUGUGGUAAUGCAGCCUUUUGGCCGUAUCUGUGUAACAGCAGGUGUUAGUUGAUCGGUUUAAACCGGUUAAUUGGCAUGCUUUUAGAUGCCUUUNAACGGGUGUCGAGAGCGGACGGCACGUUAC